rnacentral:rRNA from 1 species
CUACGGGAUGCAGCAGUGAGGAAUAUUGCACAAUGGGGGGAACCCUGAUGCAGCAACGCCGCGUGGAGGAUGACGCAUUUCGGUGUGUAAACUCCUUUUAUAUGUCAAGAAAAUGACGGUAGCAUAUGAAUAAGCACCGGCUAACUCCGUGCCAGCAGCCGCGGUAAUACGGAGGGUGCAAGCGUUACUCGGAAUCACUGGGCGUAAAGGACGCGUAGGCGGGUUGGAAAGUCAGGUGUGAAAUCCUACAGCUUAACUGGAGAACUGCACUUGAAACUUCUAACCUAGAGUAUGGGAGGGGGAGAUGGAAUUAGUGGUGUAGGGGUAAAAUCCGUAGAUAUCACUAGGAAUACCUAAAGCGAAGGCGAUCUCCUGGAACAUCACUGACGCUAAGGCGUGAAAGCGUGGGGAGCAAACAGGAUUAGAUACCCUCGUAGUC